rnacentral:lncRNA from 1 species
UAUUUUUUUUAAAUUAAAAAGUAAUAUUUGGCAAAGGGGAAUUGAAUAAGGACCUCAGGUGCAAGAUGUUACUCUAAAUCACUCAAGCUAAAAGUCAUUUACAAGAAUGGCUGUGAUUGUGAUUGAGCCUGGUAUGCUUCUGUAAAAGCUUCACUCCGCAUCACGCCAACCUGAUGCAAACAGAUUUCUUAGAAACCUUAGAUACUCAUCUUUUUAUAUUGGUGAUAUGUAAAGCCAAAAUGGUAAAUAUCUUACCCUUGUCCUGUUAUCACAAACCAAACUAGAAUCCUAGGUUGAUUGGCAUUAAGCGCUGCCCGGUGUUCAAAUUGGUUUUUUUUUCUUGUUUUUUUUGGGUAGCAUGCCUUCAGAUAGGAUCUUGCAAAUGAAUCUGUUCUAAGGUGAGCACAAUGUUGCCUUCAGAUUGGACCUUGCAACUGAAUUUACUCACAUGUUGACCAACCUUCUGG